GGUCUCUCUCAUUUCUUCCUAGUACAAUUCUAAUUACCUAUCGUGAUCGCUGAGCGAUCACUCUGGUAAUUUUCAAUUAUUUUUCAUCUACAUAUUCCG